GGGGAUAUAGCUUGGUGGUAGAGCACUUGUCUAACAAGCAAGGCCCUGGGUACUAUUUCCAGUACCUCAA
rnacentral:tRNA from 1 species